rnacentral:lncRNA from 1 species
GUAGUUGUGUGGUUGUGCUCAGUAGUUGUGUAGUUGUGGUCAGUAGUUGUAUCACUGUGGUCAGUAGUUGUGUGGUUGUGCUCAGUAGUUGUGUGGUUGUGGUCUGUAGUUGUGGUCAGUAGUUGUGUCACUGUGGUCAGUAGUUCUGUGGUUGUGGUCAGUAGUUGUGGUCAGUUGUUGUGUGGUUGUGGUCAGUAGUUGUGUGGUUGUGGUCUGUAGUUGUGUCUCUGUGGUCAGUAGUUGUGGUCAGUAGUUGUGCCACUGUGGUCAGUACUUCUAGUCAGUAGUUGUGUCACUGUGGUCAGUAGUUGUGUGGUAGUGGUCAGUAGUUGUGGUCAGUAGUUGUGUGGUUGUGGUCAGUACUUCUAGUCAGUAGUUGUGUCACUGUGGUCAGUUGUUGUGGCCAGUAGUUGUGUGGUUGUGGUCAGUUGUUGUGUGGUUGUGGUCAGUAGUUGUGGUCAGUAGUUGUGUGGUUGUGGUCAGUUGUUGUGUGGUUGUGGUCAGUAGUUGUGGUCAGUAGUUGUGUCACUGUGGUCAGUACUUCUAGUCAGUAGUUGUGUGGUUGUGGUCAGUUGUUGUGUGGUUGUGGUCAGUAGUUGUGGUCAGUAGUUGUGUCACUGUGGUCAGUACUUCUAGUCAGUAGUUGUGUCACUGUGGUCAGUAGUUGUGUGGUAGUGGUCAGUAGUUGUGGUCAGUAGUUGUGUGGUUGUGGUCAGUUGUUGUGUGGUUGUGGUCAGUAGUUGUGGUCAGUAGUUGUGUCACUGUGGUCAGUACUUCUAGUCAGUAGUUGUGUGGUUGUGGUCAGUUGUUGUGUGGUUGUGGUCAGUAGUUUUGGUCAGUAGUUGUGUCACUGUGGUCAGUACUUCUAGUCAGUAGUUGUGUGGUUGUGGUCAGUUGUUGUGUGGUAGUGGUCAGUAGUUGUGUCACUGUGGUCAGUACUUCUAGUCAGUAGUUGUGUGGUUGUGGUCAGUUGUUGUGUGGUUGUGGUCAGUAGUUGUGUCACUGUGGUCAGUACUUCUAGUCAGUAGUUGUGUCACUGUGGUCAGUAGUUGUGUGGUAGUGGUCAGUAGUUGUGGUCAGUAGUUGUGUGGUUGUGGUCAGUUGUUGUGUGGUUGUGGUCAGUAGUUGUGGUCAGUAGUUGUGGAAGCCAUUGUCAUUACCAUUAAGCCAUGGAGACUUGAGUGUUGGCAGUCUAAAACAGCGGAUUUAGACAGCACCGGGCAAAAUUGUGUUUUUAUACAAACACACACACACACACACGCACACACACACACACACACACACACACCUGUCCCACAUGUGUGUUUAUUUUUAGCGAACAGCACAAGCAGCUGUUUGCCAUUACUCAUAUCAGUAUGUAUGCUCUCUCUCUCUCCUUCUUUGGCCCAGUGUUAUUGCUUCAGAGCCACUGAGUUCUGAUGCA